ACUCCUACGGAAGGCAGCAGUCGAGAAUCAUUCGCAAUGGGCGAAAGCCUGACGAUGCGACGCCGUGUGUAUGAUGAAGGCCUUCGGGUCGUAAAGUACUUUCGCUUGGGAAGAAAUCGUAUCAGCUAAUACCUGGUGCGGAUGACGGUACCGGCAUAAGAAGCACCGGCUAACUACGUGCCAGCAGCCGCGGUAAU
rnacentral:rRNA from 1 species